rnacentral:lncRNA from 1 species
UGUAAUUCAGUCGAGCAAAACGCUAGAGCGUCCGACUCACCAUAACCAAUCCUACUUAUUUCCUGCAACAAAUUAUUAACAAGUACUCAAUCUCAUUGAUAGUCAAAUUUCCCUAACACAUGUAAUAUCUAUGGCAUCUAGACUAUUACGUAUAUCUCAAUUUGCAACCAUCCAUGGCAUCUGGAAUAGUUUAACAUCAUGAAACUCAUUACGAUCACUGGAAAUUUAUAUAAAGACUACACAAAUCCUAGAGUAUGGCAUCUACUACUAGGUAAUUCAUGGUAUCUAUUUGCAAGAAGCUAUCACUCAAGUUGAAAACAUGGCAUCUGCA